GCACCUAUGUCCUAAUGGAUAAGGUGUUUGACUUCUAAUCAAGCGAUCGUCGGUUCAAGUCCCACUAGGUGUG
rfam:Ipomoea nil DNA, scaffold: scaffold0642, cultivar: Tokyo-kokei standard.